AGUGUGUACACCUGUGUUAGCCAGAGGUUAACUUCUGGUAUCUUUCUCCAUUGUUCCUUACCUUAUUUUUUGAGACAGGGUCUUUCACUGAACCUGGAGCUCAUUGCUUUGGCUAGACUGUCUGGGAGCCUCUUACCUCUACCCUGACCAGUACUGGGGAUACAGGCAUACACAUAGCUAUGUGGGUGCUGGAAAUUGAGCUUGGGCCUUUGUGUUUGCACAGUAAAUGCUCUAUCCACUGAACCACUUUCUCAGCCCCCUACUUUGCCAAUUCUUCAGCUAAUUUAAAUUACCCUGGUUAUUAGAAACAAAGGAGAAACAAUUUUUUUUUCUCACUGGUGGAGGAAAAGCAAGCUUGGCAGGGGUGAAUGUGGAAAUGUUGGUAUUGGAGACCAUGGAGCAAGGACUCCUCAUUCAUUUCUCCCUUAACACAAACGAGGUUGCAUCCUCCUGUGACUGAGGCUGCCAGGCAAGUUUGGGCUGGCUUGGAAUUUGCUAUACAGACCAGAUUUGGAACUCACCAAGAUCCAGCAGGACUUCUCAUCUGUGGGCUGUUAGGUAAAAUUCAUGGAAAUCACCACCCUGUCCCAACAAGAACACAUCAGAAACUUAAAUGACUCAGCUAAGAUCCAUCAGAGACCUCAGGGCACAAUGGUGACCUUAGACUAGGAGAGACACACAGGAAGUUGCCAAUCAGGACUAACCUGUGCAGAAACCUCACUGGGAACUGACCACAAGCAGGAAAACCUGGACUUUCAAUGGUGAAUUGCUGAAGUGAGAGCUUCUCCAGGGGGCCCUGGCUGUUAGGCUCAGGACUAUCUUGUGAAAUGGAACCUCUGAGAGCUGAACAGGGUCCAACGGUUGGAGGUCAGAGGACAGAACAGUGCUGUUUGCUUGCUUGCCUGCCUUCAUUUCCUGCUGGACCAGCAGCUCUCCUCCAGGCCUUCAGUGCCAAUCAGUAAUGUGAAGGCAUCCGGACUGAGCAGUUCCUGUGGUCCCAGCCUCUCCAGCAGGCAGACAGCAAUUGUUGGACUAGCCAGCCUGAAUCAAAUAAACCAAUUAAAUAA